rnacentral:rRNA from 1 species
AUGGCGACGCCCGCCCUGCCAAACCCUAGCCCGCUCCUCGACGACCCGCUGCCGCCCGAGCCCAAGCCGCGCCGGGAGCCCAAGGUGCGGGACCCGGACGCGCGGGAGCCGCCGGCGGCCGCGCAGGAUCCGGAGGAAGACGCGCCCGAGGAGCCCGAGCCCGAGCAGGACGAGGGCCCGGAGCCGCCGCCCCUCCCCACCGACGCGAUCGAGCCCACCCCGUCCGGCGCGGAGGUGGAGGACGGGGACGACACCUCGUCCGUCUCCUCCGUCUCGUCCGCCGCCGCUGCCACCGAUGCCGCCGCCGCAACGGGGGGCAAGACGGAGAGGCCCUUCCCGGCGGCGACCGACCUGCUCCACAUCUCCUACAACCAGGACUACGGCUGCUUCGCCGCGGGGACCAAGACGGGCUUCCGCAUCUACAACUGCGACCCCUUCCGCGAGAUCUUCCGCCGCGACCUCGGCCCCUCCCCCACCGCCGUUCCUGGGGAAGAGGCCGCCCAGGCCCUCCACCAGCCCGCCGUCGCGGGCGGCGGCGGUGGCGGCAUCGGGGUCGUCGAGAUGCUCUUCCGCUGCAACAUACUGGCGCUCGUCGGGGGCGGGGACGCGCCACACUACCCGCCCAACAAGGUCAUGAUCUGGGACGACCACCAGAGCCGCUGCAUCGGGGAGCUCUCCUUCAAGUCCCCCGUGCGCGGCGUCCGCCUCCGCCGCGACCGCAUCGUCGUCGUCCUCGAGAACAAGAUCUUCGUCUACAACUUUGCCGACCUCAAGCUGGUGCAGCAGAUUGAGACCGCGCCCAACCCUAAGGGCCUGUGCUCUGUGUCGCAGCAGCCUGGCUCCAUUGUGCUGGUCUGCCCCGGUGCGCAGAAGGGCCAGAUCAGGGUCGAGCACUAUGGUGCUAGGAAGACCAAGUUUAUCAAUGCGCAUGCCUCCCGUGUCGCGUGCUUCGCGUUGUCACAGGAUGGCAGGCUCAUUGCCACCGCGAGCACCAAGGGGACGCUUGUGAGGAUCUUCAAUGCCGCUGAGGGCAACCUUCUCCAGGAAGUAAGGAGAGGUGCUGACAGAGCAGAGAUAUAUAGCUUGGCUUUCUCAAAUAAUUUACAGUAUUUGGCUGUAUCUAGUGAUAAAGGAACAAUUCAUGUGUUCAAUUUAAAGAUAAAUGUUGGUUUGACCACAAAUGAUAAGCCUCUGCCAGCUCCAGACGCUGAUGUUCCCCAUAUGAGUCCAUCAUUUUCUUUUAUUAAAGGUGUGCUACCUAAAUAUUUCCACUCGGAGUGGUCUGUUGCUCAAUUCAGGCUCCAUGAGGGCGAGCAGUACAUCGUUGCAUUUGGUCAUGAGAAGAAUACCGUGGCAGUUGUUGGCAUGGAUGGAAGCUUCUACCGGUGCCAGUUCGACCCGGUCAAUGGAGGAGAAAUGCAGCAGCUGGAGUGCCACAAUUUCCUAAAACCAUCAGAUCAGCCGUAG